UUGUAUUUUUAGUGUUGCUUGUAAUUUUAAUUAUAUUUGAUAUGUUUUUUUUCAGUAUUGUUUGCAUGUUACAUUUUUUUUUUUGUAUGCUUGAAUUUUGUUUACAGAGUAAGAAGUGGUAGUUUUACUUUGUAUAGGUGAUGCGGAACGAAAUAUUCAUAGUCAGAAAACUUUUAAGAUUUGCACCACACAUGUGCUCGUACAGUGACAAAAAUAUUUAUGAAAGCAUACACGCAAUUUUAAACAAGGAACAGUUUAAAAACUUUUGCGACAAUAACAUUUUUGGUUAUUUUAUGAAGAAGCAGCAAUGUGUAGUGCAAGCACAGUUGUGCAGAUGCGUUAUAACGCUUGACGUGAAGGGUAGUUCUUCUUCUGGAAUUCUGAUUUGUGCUAAUGACACUUUUCUUAAUUUUACUCCCUUGGAAUUUGCUAUCAUAACUGGAUUGAAUUGUGUGUCAAAUAGAUAUGACUUUAUUUUUGACGAGGAUAUACCAAAUAGGAUGGUUGAGAAGUAUUUCAAUGGGGCAGAAAUUAUACAGAAAAGACAACUAUUUCUAGCAUUCGCGGAGAAAGUAUGGGGGGAGAACAAUAAGGAGGAUGCUGAGAAAUUUGCAAUCCUGUAUUUCCUGCAUUCAUUUGUGUUAUCUAAUGUUGAAUUUGUGGUUAUACCCCGUCUUCAUUUCGAUUUGGUCGAUAGUGGAAGAUAUAAGAAUUUUCCAUGGGGUUCUUUAUUUUUUGAAGAUCUGGUCAGAAGUUUGAACAACCGGUUGAAAGUUGGUGGUCAAUUUUAUUUGAUUCAGAGAAUGUCACUGACUAUUUAAGUAUGGCUUUAUGAGUGUUGUUUAAAUGUCCCACCAAAGAUUGCAUCGAAGGUUGAUAAUCGAAUUUUUCGAUUAUUAAAUUGGAAGACGAUUGUACCUCGUCCACGCUUUGAGUUUUUGAUGAAUGCUAUGUUCAAUGACAAUGGCAAAGUUGUUUUUAAGAAUAUAGAGCCAACGAAAAAGGAGCUGACAAAAUUGCAAAUACCAAAGAAGGAUGCAAUACAACAUGAACGUUCUGUUGAUUCUGAUGACGACUUUCAGAAUCCACCACCAAGAAAGAUCAACGAACAUUCAAAGAAGAAACAGAAGGUUGGUUCAUCAACACUAGUAGCGAAGAAAAUUUUAAGGAAAAAGCAAGUAAACGAGCAUACCCAAACAAGGACACCAACUCCUCGUGCUGCAAAGGCUGAUGGAAUGAAGACACCAGUUUUCAAGUCAAUUCCAACACGACAGACAUCUUCUUCAAAAACAAAGAAAGGAAAGAAAACAGCUCGGGUUAUUUUUCCUCAGGUACAGUCAAAGCCAGAUAUUCAUGUAGAUGAAGUAGCCUUGUCAAAGCCUGAGGAUCAUGUUGAGAAAGAAGCCUUUAUUUCUAAGAAAGAUUUUGAUGCAUUCCGCAAUAAGGUUCAUCGCGAGUUUAAAGGAAUUCGUGGACUAAUGAGAAAAAAAUUCAAAAAGAUGAAGAAAGCAUUUGCUCAAAGCAAGGAUUAGGUUGUAGAUAUAAAAGCUGAUAAACCAAAUGUUGAUGAUGGAGGGUUGAAGCAAUCUGGACAAUAUUUCAGUCCUGAUGUUGUUCAAUCUUCGGAUAAUAUUUCUGACGGUACAAAGCAACAACAUGCAGAUAAAGAUCCUGACUCCAGAAUAUGGAUUAUGUUGAUACCGAAAGAUCACCACAACGAUUAAGUACGGAGGUUGAUCAUGAAUUAGAGUUAAAUUUGCUUGGUAAAAAGACCAGCGAUGAGAAAAUUGAUGAAAUAAUUUUGUCUGAUUCGCAAUUCACAAUCCCUGAUGAGAUAUUACCGAGCCUAAAGGUCUAUCAAAUAAAAAGCAUCAUCAUACAUUCAUCGACAAACCGUCAAGAAGAACAUGAAAUUUUGGAGCAAAAACUUCUGAGACUGUUAUUGAAGAUCAUGCUCAAAUGAACAGAGGGAUCACUGAUUUGAGUUCAAAUUCACUGGUGAAUUCAGAGGUCGAACUUGCUACAGAGGAGCAAGUUAGGAAACCUCCGAAUACACAAGAAGUAACCAAUGAUAAAUAGGGGGAUGAACAAUUGUGGCCUGAUUCACAAAACACAAUCCCGGAUGAGUUUCUACCUAGCUUGAAUGUCUACGAUCAAACAAGAAUCAUGAUUCAUCCAUCCGCUAACCGUGAAGUUAAAACUCCCAGAGUUAAGGAUUAGGCUACCAUCAAAAUUCAAGGAAUCGCCACACUGAAAAAUUUGGUUCAGCAACUGGGAGCUCAGCAGGGCUAAUACGCAUAUUCCCCCAGAAACAUCCAUUUUUAUAUUACCCGAUUGAUGGGAUAAUAGAUAUGAAGAUUGUCAAGAACUUCAAGGACUGAAUUUCUGUCGACCUAUUAAAAGCUACUGCCAAGAGCAUAUUGAUGUCUGCUUAUACUACUUGAGGAAGAAGUCGGAGUAUGGGCCACACAAUUCGUACAAAAAUGAGGCAAACAAAUCAUACAAAUACAGUACAAUUGACUGCAACUUUAUGAACGUAAUUAGAUCUUUGAAUGAUGUAUAUUAUAUGGAUCAUCAAAACCUUAAUGAUGGAGGACAGGAGAACCAUCUUAUUGAAUACAUCAAUGGGUUCCAUAUGCAUGCUGCAGUGCCAUGGCAUACAGUGGAAGACAUUUUUAUUCUGGUCAAUAUAAAGGAAAAACAUCACUGGGUUCUCGCAGUUUUAUCAUUUUCAGAGAGGUGUAUAUUCUUGUAUGAUUCAUAUGAAUCCAGUGGUCAUUAUGUGGCUGUUCUUGCUGAGAUCGAGAAAAUAGCAAAGAUUAUUUCAUUGUGUCUCCAAACUUGUGAUUUCUAUGUUAAGAAGGUAUUUAUCUUCAAAACCAUCGAAGAUACAAAGAUAAAGAAUCCUCAGAUAUGUUUGAUGUUUUAUUUGAAGAUGAUUUGCCUCAACAACCGAGUGGAAGCUUGGAUUGUGGUAUAUUUAUGGUUAUGUAUGCGGAGUGUCUUUCUUAUGGUCACAAAGUUAUUGUGACUGAGUUCGACCCCAACGCACUCCGUACAAGAUAUGCUGCACUUUUGUGGGACUAUGGGAUCGAAAAACAAGACGCAAAUGUCAUUAGUGAUGUCGAAGCACCCUUGAGGCCUGCAAGGCAAAGUAGAAUAACUAGUGUCACUGAAGUUGUUGAUGUAUGAUGGUUGAUGGAUUUUUGAGUUUUUGUAUUUUAAAAACUAGUUUAUGGAUGUAGGUUUUGAUUGUACAG